CCUACGGGAGGCAGCAGUGGGGAAUAUUGGGCAAUGGGCGCAAGCCUGACCCAGCAACGCCGCGUGAAGGAAGAAGGCUUUCGGGUUGUAAACUUCUUUUCUCAGGGACGAAGCAAGUGACGGUACCUGAGGAAUAAGCCACGGCUAACUACGUGCCAGCAGCCGCGGUAAUACGUAGGUGGCAAGCGUUAUCCGGAUUUACUGGGUGUAAAGGGCGUGUAGGCGGGGACGCAAGUCAGAUGUGAAAACCAUGGGCUCAACCUGUGGCCUGCAUUUGAAACUGUGUGUCUUGAGUACUGGAGAGGCAGACGGAAUUCCUAGUGUAGCGGUGAAAUGCGUAGAUAUUAGGAGGAACACCAGUGGCGAAGGCGGUCUGCUGGACCGCAACUGACGCUGAGGCGCGAAAGCGUGGGGAGCAAACAGGAUUAGAUACCCCGGUAGUC
rnacentral:rRNA from 1 species